GACGAACGCUGGGGCGUGCUUAACACCUGCAAGUCGAACGGAAAGGCCCUUUCGGGGGUGCUCGAGUGGCGAACGGGUGAGUAACACGUGGGUGAUCUGCCCUGCACUUGGGGAUAAGCCUGGGAAACUGGGUCUAAUACCGAAUAUGAUCAUGCGCCUCAUGGUGUGUGGUGGAAAGCUUUUGCGGUGUGGGAUGGGCCCGCGGCCUAUCAGCUUGUUGGUGGGGUAAUGGCCUACCAAGGCGACGACGGGUAGCCGGCCUGAGAGGGUGUCCGGCCACACUGGGACUGAGAUACGGCCCAGACUCCUACGGGAGGCAGCAGUGGGGAAUAUUGCACAAUGGGCGCAAGCCUGAUGCAGCGACGCCGCGUGGGGGAUGACGGCCUUCGGGUUGUAAACCUCUUUCAGUACCGACGAAGCGCAAGUGACGGUAGGUACAGAAGGAGCACCGGCCAACUACGUGCCAGCAGCCGCGGUAA
rnacentral:rRNA from 1 species